GACAGAGGAUGCGAACGUUGCUCGGAUUUACUGGGCGUAAAGCGCGUGUAGGCGGUCUCGUUAGUCGGGUGUGAAAGCCCUGGGCUCAGCCCAGGAAGUGCACCCGAUACUGCAAGACUGGGGUACUGAAGAGGAGAGCGGAAUUCCCGGUGUAGAGGUGAAAUUCGUAGAUAUCGGGAGGAACACCAGUGGCGAAGGCGGCUAUCUGGACCGGUACUGACGCUGAGGUGCGAAAGCGUGGGGAGCAAACAGG
rnacentral:rRNA from 1 species